CAAGAAGUCUGACGUGGAAGCAAUCUUUU
rnacentral:piRNA from 1 species